rnacentral:rRNA from 1 species
GACGAACGCUGGCGGCGUGCUUAACACAUGCAAGUCGAACGGAAAGGCCCUGCUUUUGUGGGGUGCUCGAGUGGCGAACGGGUGAGUAACACGUGAGUAACCUGCCCUUGACUUUGGGAUAACUUCAGGAAACUGGGGCUAAUACCGGAUAGGAGCUCCUGCUGCAUGGUGGGGGUUGGAAAGUUUCGGCGGUUGGGGUUGGAUUCGCGGCUUAUCAGCUUGUUGGUGGGGUAGUGGCUUACCAAGGCUUUGACGGGUAGCCGGCCUGAGAGGGUGACCGGCCACAUUGGGACUGAGAUACGGCCCAGACUCCUACGGGAGGCAGUAGUGGGGAAUAUUGCACAAUGGGCGGAAGCCUGAUGCAGCAACGCCGCGUGCGGGAUGACGGCCUUCGGGUUGUAAACCGCUUUCGCCUGUGACGAAGCGUGAGUGACGGUAAUGGGUAAAGAAGCACCGGCUAACUACGUG